UAUUGCGAUCACCAUCUCGGGGAGAACUUCGGCAACAAAUUAUCGUCUUUUGGCGAUCGGACCUGUUUCAGUCAUUAGAAAAGGUAUUAUACCUGUAAUAGGGUUUUGAUUGACUAAAGUACCAUGAGAUUCAGAAAAGGAAGUAAAGUCGAGGUAUUCAGCAAUGACGGGGCACCUUAUGGUGCUUGGCGAUGUGCUGAGAUUAUCUCGGGUAAUGGGCACACCUACGGAGUUAGAUUGGAUUCUUCCCAAUCUGCCAAAGAUAGGGGGGUUAUGGAGAGAGUUUUAAGGAGGAAUAUUAGACCGCGCCCUCCACAACAAAUGAAUGUAGACAGAUGGGAAUCUGGUGAAUUGGUGGAGGUUCGUGAUGAUUUGUCCUGGAAAAUUGCCACAGUCCUUAGGGCCUCAUGGGGAAAUUAUUAUGUGGUUCGAUUGCUCGGGGCGUCUGCAGAAUUUGAAGUCCACAAAGUUAACAUAAGGGUUCGACAAUUCUGGCUAGAUGAGAGAUGGAAUCAGUUUGGAAAGGUUUCUGGCUCUUUGAAGUCCUCUACACUGACAGGAUCAGAUCAUCCGAAGCCUCAAACCCUUUUGAACGACCCUCUUCCCCGGGAGCCUAGUGUUGCAUCUUCUAGAAUGUUAAAGAGGGUAUCACCUUCUAGCUGGCCAGAGUGUGCUGAAUCAUGCACAGGAAACCCAUGGAAGCUACGAUCAAUUGAGAUAGGGGGUCAGCAACACCAUUAUCGUUGCUCUUUGUUGCAAAAGGUAGAUGAUGUUGCUUGCGAACCUGAAAAUUUGGGUAAAAUACAUUCGCAAGGUUCCUUUAAGUAUCAUAAAAAUGGUUGCUGUGAAAUGGUCAGGGUAAGAUCAAAUGGGUUCAAUGAGCUUGCUCAUGCAGGAACCACAGAAGCUAGUGCUUAUGACAGUGAUGCAUCCUCAACUGGUAGUUGUAGCGCUGGUAGUUAUGAUAAGAGUAACAUGUCAGCUUAUAUGCUAGAUGGCGCUAGUCAAGAUGCAGAUUCUGCUAGUAGUGAUACGGAGUCUUCAUGUGGACGUGGAGAAGGACAGAAUUCCUUAGCAGAAGAUGUUGAAGCGGCCCAUAGGUCUGAGUUAUACUCUUACCGCAGUACUUUGGAAGAAUUAUUUGCUUCUGGGCCCCUGAGUUGGGAACAAGAAGCAUCACUAACUGAUCUCCGUCUUUCCCUUAAUAUAUCAGAUGAUGAACACUUGAUGGAGUUAAGAAAUCUGAUAUCUGCUGGUACCCGCAGUCAUAAUUGUUAGCACCAAUCAUGACUCAUUCUUUCUUUUCUUUGAUUCUUAUUGUCAUAGCCUUAGCUUCUUUCUUGGCCAUGCUUGCCUGCAAUAAGGAAUCGGCGGUCGUAUACUGUUCAUUUUGGAGAGGAAUUUUAUUGAAUGUGUAUAGACAGCAGAAAAUUUGCUAUCUGUGUAUAGUAUGUGAUGGAGAUUUUAACUAGAAUGAAAAUGUCCAAGGCUCGUUAUGGUGUUUUCUGUUUUUUUCCUGUAGCUAGUCUUUGCUUAAUAUUUUUUACUGUAAUUUCUGGAUGAUGGAAAGAAAAUUUGUGCAUUCAGACUCUGAGAAAAACCAAGUUUCUGAGGGUCCUUUUGUUGUGAGAGGACUUUAAGUGGCACAUUUGUGUGUUUACAUAUGCUUCACUGUAUUCCAUUUUCUUUCCAUAUUGUAAAAAGAUCCAGCAAACCUAUUUUCCUUGUUCGCAUGUGAAUGAUGGACAUGCAAUCUGUCCCUUUUAUUAUGUAAUGCCUUCACUUGUAACUAUGUAGCUAUGAUGCUAUGUUGCAUAUCAUGUGAUCUUAAGUGGAGCCUGAUCAUUCUGAUAAUGCCGCUUCGGACAUUAUUGAUCUUCCCCUACAUUUUUCAGGAACAGUGUCGGAGACCCUGUGGACCUUGCUUCUAGAGGUCCAACUCUGAUGCUGGGGUUAACAGCUUUCCACUUCCCCAUCUGAAUGGUGUCUCUCGCUGGACCUUGUUUCUCUCUACAGGGCUUGAAAGCAGUGCUUUGAGAGCAGGUUCCCAAUCUAAGUUUGUCGAUUUACUCGAUCGUUAGAAAAGUAUUGCCAAUUUUUCCCAUAUAGUUUCUUUUAUCCCGUUCUAUAUUUCGCUCUAACUUGUAGCAAUGCCUUCCUCUGGUAUUGGUUCUACUGGUUGCUUGAUGAGAAUAGUGGGAUGUAGAUGCUGUUGUGUCUGAUUCUUAGCUUUCAUCUGCUAUAUCAUCGUUUACAGGAAUAUCAAGCUAUGCUGUUUCAGUUAGGUUGUCGUGUUCAAAGCUUUCUGCAAUUUGGCUUUUCGGGUAAUGGGCGUUAUUACCUGAUGAGUAACAGAGUAAGUAUGAAACUGUAGAUCGCCCUUGGAGUCUUUUGAUAAUAUACUGUUUUGGCCUUACAGAGAAACGUAUGCCAAUACACCUCGGGCCCAUAGCAUCUGAUCCUGAUCUUCUCAUAUUAUAUGAAAUCGAAUGGAAUUAAGCAAUUUUUUUCGUUAUUUUUUGACGUUUGCGUCAGUGGAAAUGCAACGCUCCGAAGUCUUCCAACUCAAGCAAUGCUGAAGUUGUUGGACUCUUUGGGUUGUAAACUCCAAAGCUGAUGUGUGAUGGGUUCGAGGUUUCACAAAGGUAUGGCUUCCCGUUUCUGUUUCCGUGGAUGCACACCAUUUUGCAUAUGAGUAGCCAUUUAUGCAGUAAGCGAUACAAGAUUAAAACUUUUUCCACCAACCUCUGCUCUUCGAUUGUAUCAACAAAAAGGUUUUGUUCUAAUUUUCUGGUCUCAUGCAUAAGAGAAGAACAUGUGAAGAGAGAAGCGAGGUUUUUGCUGGUCCACCUCCCAUGAAGCUGUUAAGUGGACCUAACCCAUCGAAUCAUAUGACUAUAUCUACUAUUCUGAUAUUCAAAUUCGGCCGAGAUAACAGUCGAUUUGUGGCUGUGGCUUGUCGGGUAAUUGCGAAAUUCGAUCGAACUGGCCUGGUGUCAAUCACUGGAAAGCUGUUGGUUCGAAUUUACAGAGUUGGCAAAUAGGUGUAUAGGGUUUAGGGGUUUGCAAGAGUAAGCUUUCCUCUUUUUAACAUUACCAUGGCUCAUAACGUUUCUCGUCAUCUGUGUUUCCUCUUGUAGUUUCAAGAUAAGACGCAUAAUCCAUGUUGUUGUUACUAAACUAAAUAUAAAAUUUCCUCUUGUAGUUUUUA